CGUUAGCGGCGGACGGGUGAGUAACACGUGGGUAACCUACCUAUAAGACUGGGAUAACUCCGGGAAUCCGGGGCUAAUACCGGAUAAUACAUGAAACCGCAUGGUUUCAUGAUGAAAGACGGUUUUGCUGUCACUUAUAGAUGGACCCGCGGCGUAUUAGCUAGUUGGUAAGGUAACGGCUUACCAAGGCAACGAUACGUAGCCGACCUGAGAGGGUGAUCGGCCACACUGGAACUGAGGCACGGUCCAGACUCCUACGGGAGGCAGCAGCC
rnacentral:rRNA from 1 species